UCAUUUCCACCAGCUUGUCUGCAUCAGCAAAAGAGAAAAGCUCACUGUGCCAAUCCGGGCCAUUGGUGCCCGCCCAGUCUUGGACUUCCCUGACCAGCUGGACUUCUCGCCGUGUCCAGUCAACCACAGCACCCAGAAGACUCUGCUGGUUCACAACACCGGGAACCUGGAAGCCUGUUACAGCCUCAGCACUGAGAGCCCUUUCACUGUCAGCCCAGCCACGGGAACCCUCGAUGUUGGUGAAGCCAAGCAAGUGACAGUGGAAUAUCACCCGCUGGAGACCGGGCACCAUUCCACACCCCUGGCAGUGCACUGCGACAGAGGUGAAGAUACCCACACCAGACUUCUUGGAAAAGCUAAGGACUUCAACAUCGGGCUGGACAAGUACUCUUUGGAACUUGUCAAGCCACAGAACCACGGCCACCCACAACAGAAGUAACAUCACAGCCCGAUU